AGGACGAACGCUGGCGGCGUGCUUCAUACAUGCAAGUCGAACGAGAAGCUGACUUCGGUCAGUGGAAAGUGGCGGACGGGUGAGUAAUAUGUAGAGAAUCUGCCCUUGAGUGGGGGACAACAGAGGGAAACUUCUGCUAAUACCCCAUAUGAGCUUAGUUGAAAUACUAAUCUUGAAAACUCCGGUGCUCAAGGAUGAGUCUGCAUCUGAUUAGCUAGUUGGCGGUGUAAUGGACCACCAAGGCGACGAUCAGUAGCUGGUUUGAGAGGAUGAUCAGCCACAAUGGGACUGAGACACGGCCCAUACUCCUACGGGAGGCAGCAGUAGGGAAUUUUGCGCAAUGGGCGAAAGCCUGAACCGCAGCAACGCCGCGUGAACGAGAAGCCCUUCGGGGUGUAAAGUUCUGUCAGUAGGGACGAAUCUUGACGGUACCUACAGAGGAAGCACCGGCUAACUCCGUGCCAGCCGCAGC
rnacentral:rRNA from 1 species